rnacentral:rRNA from 1 species
GACGAACGCUGGCGGCGUGCCUAAUACAUGCAAGUCGAACGGGAGCGACCGGUGCUUGCACUGGUCAAUCUAGUGGCGAACGGGUGAGUAACACGUGGGUAACCUGCCCAUCAGAGGGGGAUAACAUCCGGAAACGGAUGCUAAAACCGCAUAGGUCUUCGAGCCGCAUGGCUUGAAGAGGAAAAGAGGCGCAAGCUUCUGCUGAUGGAUGGACCCGCGGUGCAUUAGCUAGUUGGUGAGGUAACGGCUCACCAAGGCCGUGAUGCAUAGCCGACCUGAGAGGGUGAUCGGCCACAUUGGGACUGAGACACGGCCCAAACUCCUACGGGAGGCAGCAGUAGGGAAUCUUCCGCAAUGGACGCAAGUCUGACGGAGCAACGCCGCGUGAGUGAAGAAGGUUUUCGGAUCGUAAAACUCUGUUGUUAGAGAAGAACAAGUGCUAGAGUAACUGUUAGCGCCUUGACGGUAUCUAACCAGAAAGCCACGGCUAACUACGUG